rfam:Ruminococcus sp. CAG:382 genomic scaffold, scf276
AACAAGCUUCGGGGCAGGGUGCGAUUCCCUACCGGCAGUUAUAGUCUGCGACCGCCUUAAUGGCGCUGAACGGGUGUGAUUCCCGUACCGACGGUAUAGUCCGGAUGAUAGAAGCAAUAU